rnacentral:rRNA from 1 species
AUGGCGGCGUCUCGGACGUCGUUCCCUUCUCGAGGCAUCGUCGUUGCAGGUCACGUCAACCUGAUCGAAAGGCUCCGGGGGAAACCCUUGAUCUGGAUCUACCGGAUCGGACGAUGGCGACGUUUCGAUGUCGUUCUCCCUCCUGAGGGCAUCGUUUUGGAGCAAGUGUUGGCUGGAGGGGACAAGAGGAGGAGCGGCGUGGCAUCUGGCACGUUGACAACGGCGGGUCUCAGCGGCAUGGAGCAGCGGGGGUCUCGCCGGUGGGCGUGUGAUGAUGGACGAGUGCAGGAUGGUGGCGCUGUCUGGCGUCGUGGUGGCGUCGAUGGCAGUGAGGCCUGGCACGGUUCAUGCAACAGUUCAGCUCUGAAGAUGGAUUGA